AGCAGUAGCCGCGGGAAUACGUAGGUGGCAAGCGUUGUCCGGAAUUAUUGGGCGUAAAGGGCUCGCAGGCGGUUUCUUAAGUCUGAUGUGAAAGCCCCCGGCUCAACCGGGGAGGGUCAUUGGAAACUGGGAAACUUGAGUGCAGAAGAGGAGAGUGGAAUUCCACGUGUAGCGGUGAAAUGCGUAGAGAUGUGGAGAAACACCAGUGGCGAAGGCGACUCUCUGGUCUGUAACUGACGCUGAGGAGCGAAAGCGUGGGGAGCGAACAGGAUUAGAUACCCCUGUAGUCCCUGUCUCUUAUAC
rnacentral:rRNA from 1 species